AGAGUUUGAUCCUGGCUCAGAUUGAACGCUGGCGGCAUGCCUAACACAUGCAAGUCGAACGGAAACGAUGGGAGCUUGCUCCCAGGCGUCGAGUGGCGGACGGGUGAGUAAUGCUUAGGAAUCUGCCCAGUAGUGGGGGACAACUCGAGGAAACUCGAGCUAAUACCGCAUACGCCCUACGGGGGAAAGCGGAGGAUCUUUCGGGACUUCGCGCUAUUGGAUGAGCCUAAGUCGGAUUAGCUUGUUGGUGAGGUAAAAGCUCACCAAGGCGACGAUCCGUAGCUGGUCUGAGAGGACGAUCAGCCACACUGGGACUGAGACACGGCCCAGACUCCUACGGGAGGCAGCAGUGGGGAAUAUUGCACAAUGGGCGAAAGCCUGAUGCAGCAAUGCCGCGUGUGUGAAGAAGGCCUGCGGGUUGUAAAGCACUUUCAGUAGAGAAGAAAAGUUUAGGGUUAAUACCCCUGAAUCUUGACGUUACCUACAGAAGAAGCUCCGGCUAACUCCGUGCCAGCAGCCGCGGUAAUACGGAGGGAGCGAGCGUUAAUCGGAAUUACUGGGCGUAAAGCGCGCGUAGGUGGCUCUUUAAGUCGGAUGUGAAAGCCCUGGGCUCAACCUGGGAAUUGCAUUCGAAACUGCAGAGCUAGAGUAUGGUAGAGGGAAGUGGAAUUUCCGGUGUAGCGGUGAAAUGCGUAGAUA
rnacentral:rRNA from 1 species